GACUGUAAAACAAGAGUAGCUGAAGACUUAUUCCCUUGUGAAUCUGGGAAACAGCAGUGAUUUUGAAAAGUGUAUUGGAUAUGCUUUCACAGAAGAAGACAAAAGUUAAGGUACUGUUACCACAGCCCGAGAAGAUCACAGGACAACUCUCUCAUUAGAGACAACUGCCUGAGAGUUUAACCCAAGGGCCACCAUGUCUCAAGCAAGAUUAGGCAAGUGGGACAUAAGAGCCUGUCUAUCCUUGGCAGAAGCACAAAAAAAAAUGGAGAGGACAGACUUUUUAAAUAAACAUAACAGCAUGAGAGCACAACAGAAGCAGAAAGAGUAGAAACCCAACCAAUGAAGGGCACUUAGGAACAUGGGAGAGCAGAGGACCCAAAAAAGCAACAGGAACAAAAGAGAGCAACAGAAAAACAGGAGAGACACUAAAGUUCUUCUUU